GGCCGGAUAAGGCGUUUACGCCGCAUCCGGCAAUUGUGCACCGGUGCCUGAUGCGAUGCGGCGCGUCUUAUCAGGCC
rnacentral:ncRNA from 1 species